GUAGAGCACCUGGUUUGGGACCAGGGGGUCGCAGGUUCGAAUCCUGUCUUCCCGA
rfam:Lactobacillus dextrinicus DSM 20335 NODE_13, whole genome shotgun sequence.